rnacentral:rRNA from 1 species
UACGUAGGGACCAAGCGUUGUUCGGAUUUACUGGGCGUAAAGGGCGCGUAGGCGGUGUGUUAAGUCAGCUGUGAAAUCUCCGAGCUUAACUCGGAACGGUCAGCUGAUACUGAUGUGCUAGAGUGCAGAAGGGGCAAUCGGAAUUCUUGGUGUAGCGGUGAAAUGCGUAGAUAUCAAGAGGAACACCUGAGGUGAAGACGGGUUGCUGGGCUGACACUGACGCUGAGGCGCGAAAGCCAGGGGAGCAAACGGG